rnacentral:lncRNA from 13 species
UUUUAUUCUGGGUGAUGGAUUUCAGACUGAGUGCCCAUCUCCUCAGUGCCGCAGCACCCAAUUAAAGCAUUUUUCCUUGGCAAUACUGUCAUCUCAGGAACUGGCUUUCUGUGUAGUAAGCAGCAGGACCCAGACCGAACCCUCGGCGUUUCAGCAGUACAAUGUUUCCACUGAAAAGUCUGCUGCCAGUUUUAAUGGAGCUCCGUUAUAUUAUGUCUGCAAGCUCAGUAAGUCUUUCUUCUCUUUGAUCCAUUCUGCUAUCAAGAGACGGAUACAUUCUUCAGUAUAAACUCAAGAUCACCUUGACAAUGAUUGCACCAUUUGAACCAUUUGAGAAAGAACAGCAGAGCAAUUUUACCAGGAACUAAAUAGUUUCAAAUGGGCUGAGAUACUGAUUCCAGAC